rnacentral:lncRNA from 1 species
CAUUUCAAGAUGUUCUAAAUAAGUUAUUUUUAUAUAUAAAAAAUGUUUUUAUAAAAAAAUAUUUUAUAUUUUUUCUUAUAUAUUUAAUAAAUUUAAAUACUGAUAAAUUAGUAUCUAAAAUUAAUGAUCCUUACAUAUUAAACGAUUAUAAAUUGAAAGAAAAUGCAUCUCCUGCUAUGUUUAAUUUGAAAUAUAGUGAAUUAGAAAUACCAACUAGUAAUAAUGUUAUUAAUGGUUGGUUUAUUAAUUCGAAUAAAAAAAGUAAUAAAAUAUUUUUAUUAUUACAUGGAUAUAAUAGUAAUAGACAGGCAUGUUUAUUUUUUUUAAACAUAUUAAAAAAAUUAAACGUACAUAAUGAUACUAACAUAUUUAUACCAGAUAUGCAACAUUUUAAUGAAAAAGGAGUAGUUGAUAUUUAUAAUAUUUUGAAAUAUUUUAAAGACCAUAUGCAGAUUAAUGAAGUUAAUAUAUACACACAAUCUUCCACAAACUUACUUGUUUUACUUUUAUCAAAAAAUUAUAAAAAUAAAAUUGUUUCAAAAGGUAAGCAAAAUUUUAUUGGAAAUAUUAUGUCACCAACUAAUAAUAAUCAACAACCAAAAAAUAAUGAAAUCGAUAAUAUAAUUUAUAUAGAUAAAUAUAUAUUUGAUUCACCUAUAUUAAAUUUACCUAAAACAAUUAGUAUUCAUUUUCAUUUGAAUGAUCUUAAAAAAAAAUUAAGAGAAGAAAAAAUGAAAUUACAUAUGUAUAACAAUUUAAAAACUAAAUAUGAUCAAAAAACAUUAUUUAAUUAUUUUCUCUCUUUUUUUAUAUGGCUACUAAAUAAUCAAUUAAAAGGACGUUUAUAUGAUUACGAUUUUAAUAAGUUAAUAACUGAAAAUAAUAUAAAUCCAUCAAAUAUAUAUAUUCUACAUUCGUUAAAUGACAAUAUUUCUUUAUUAAAUAUACUAGCUCAAGAAGUUAAGCUUAAAAAUUUAGUCCCAAUGAAAAAUAUAUUUAUUUUUAAGAACGGACAACAUGCUAAUAUAUAUGAAAAAUCGAAAAAUGAGUAUAAUUUAAUAGUUAAGAAAAUUAUUAAAGGAUUUGGUAUAUUAGAUUUUUUAUAUUAUAUACCGCUCAAAUCGAAAAUGACUUCGAUUAAUACGUAGAAAAUGGGGAGUGCGUGCUGUGUGGUAGUGACGACAGGAUGUAGUACAAAAUGUGUGACAUUUAUACAGGCCAAAAAAAAAAAAGGGAAAAAAAGAAGGAGUUUGCCCUAUUAUCGUGGAAAACAUUGUGGAAAACGUUGUGGAAAAUGUUGUGGAAAACGUUGUGGAAAAUGUUGUGGAAAACGUUGUGGAAAAAAUGGUAGAAAACAUUGUAGAAAAAAUAGUAUCGUGUCAAUAAAAAAAAAAAAAAAAAAAAUAGGGAG